AAGAAUAUAGCAUAAUUGGCAAUGCAGUCCGCUCAUAAUGGAUGUUAUCAAGGUUCAAGUCCUUGUGUUCUUA
rnacentral:tRNA from 1 species